UGUUCUGUGGCAAAGUUGGAUAACGCGAGCUAUCUAGCGAAUUGGGGUGACGUGAGUUCAAAUCCCACCAGAACAA
rnacentral:tRNA from 1 species